rnacentral:rRNA from 1 species
GAUGAACGCUGGCGGCGUGCUUAACACAUGCCAGUCGAACGGUGAAGGCGGAGCUUGCUCUGCUGGAUCAGUGGCGAACGGGUGAAUAACACGUGAGCAAUCUGCCCCUGACUCUGGAUAAGCGCUGGAAACGGCGUCUAAUACUGGAUACGAGCUGCGAAGGCAUCUUCAGCAGCUGGAAAGAAUUUCGGUCAGGGAUGAGCUCGCGGCCUAUCAGCUUGUUGGUGAGGUAAUGGCUCACCAAGGCGUCGACGGGUAGCCGGCCUGAGAGGGUGACCGGCCACACUGGGACUGAGACACGGCCCAGACUCCUACGGGAGGCAGCAGUGGGGAAUAUUGCACAAUGGGCGAAAGCCUGAUGCAGCAACGCCGCGUGAGGGACGACGGCCUUCGGGUUGUAAACCUCUUUUAGCAGGGAAGAAGCGAAAGUGACGGUACCUGCAGAAAAAGCGCCGGCUAACUACGUG